ACGAAAUUUCCAUAAUCAAAAUUAGGUGACCGAGUUGGAGGUUGUUGAGGUGGAGGUGACUGAGGUGGAGGUGGAGGUGGUUGAGGUGAAGGUGAUCGAGGUGAAGGUGGUUGAGGUGAAGGUGAUCGAGGUGAAGGUGAUCGAGGUGAAGGUGAUCGAGGUGGAGGUGAUCGAGGUGGAGAUGAUUGAGGGGAGGAUUCCACAUUCCAACUUUCUUGCAGAGCCUUAGCAAGCUGUUCGUCUUCGUCCAACUGAGACUCGUCAUCUGAUACAUUCAGGAGUCUGAAUAAGUUACCGAGCUUAUUCUAUAGAAA
rnacentral:lncRNA from 1 species